UACAGAGGUGCCGAGCGUUAGGCGGAAUCACUGGGCUUAAAGCGUGUGUAGGCGGACCGUUAAGUACCUUGUGAAAUCCCCCGGCUCAACCGGGGAACGGCUGGGUAUACUGGCGGUCUUGAGCCAUCCAGGGGCAGUCGGAACAGACGGUGGAGCGGUGAAAUGCGUAGAUAUCGUCUGGAACGCCGAAGGUGAAAACAGACUGCUGGGGAUGCGCUGACGCUGAGACACGAAAGCCAGGGGAGCGAACGGG
rnacentral:rRNA from 1 species